rnacentral:rRNA from 1 species
UAGCAUAUUAAUAAGCGGAGGAAAAGAAACUAACAAGGAUUCCCCUAGUAACUGCGAGUGAAGCGGGAAAAGCUCAAAUUUAAAAUCUGGCGGUCUUCGGCCGUCCGAGUUGUAAUCUAGAGAAGUAAUACCCGCGCUGGACCGUGUACAAGUCUCCUGGAACGGGGCGUCAUAGAGGGUGANAAUCCCGUCUCUGACAUGGACUACCAGUGUGUUGUGGUAUGCUCUCAAAGAGUCGAGUUGUUUGGGAAUGCAGCUCAAAAUGGGUGGUAAAUUCCAUCUAAAGCUAAAUAUUGGCGAGAGACCGAUAGCGAACAAGUACCGUGAGGGAAAGAUGAAAAGAACUUUGGAAAGAGAGUUAAACAGUACGUGAAAUUGCUGAAAGGGAAACGCUUGAAGUCAGUCGCGUUGGCCAGGGAUCAGCCUCGCUCUUGCGUGGUGUACUUUCUGGUUGACGGGUCAGCAUCAAUUUUGACCACUAGAAAAAGGCCUGGGGAAUGUGGCAGCCACGGCUGUGUUAUAGCCCCUAGUCACAUAUGGUGGUUGGGAUUGAGGAACUCAGCACGCCGAAAGGCCGGGUUUCGACCACGUUCGUGCUUAGGAUGCUGGCAUAAUGGCUUUAAGCGACCCGUCUUGAAACACGGACCAAGGAGUCUAACGUGCCUGCGAGU